AGAGUUUGAUCCUGGCUCAGAACGAACGCUGGCGGCGUGGAUUAGGCAUGCAAGUCGUACGCGAAAGAGGGGGCAACCCCUCGAGUAGAGUGGCGAACGGGUGAGUAACGCGUGAAGAACCUGCCUUCAACAGGGGGAUAACACUCCCAACGGGGUGCUAAUACCGCAUGAGACCACGGGUCUGCAUGGACCUGAGGUCAAAGGUGGCCUCUGCUUGCAAGCUACCGGUUGAAGAUGGCUUCGCGUCCCAUUAGCUAGUUGGCGGGGUAACGGCCCACCAAGGCGACGAUGGGUAGCUGGUCUGAGAGGAUGGUCAGCCACACUGGGACUGAGACACGGGCCCGACUCCUACGGGAGGCAGCAGUAAGGAAUAUUGGGCAAUGGAGGCAACUCUGACCCAGCCAUGCCGCGUGGAGGAUGAAGGCCCUCUGGGUUGUAAACUUCUUUUAUCUGGGAAGAAACCCCUUGAUUCUUCGAGGGUUGACGGUACCAGAGGAAUAAGCACCGGCUAACUCCGUGCCAGCAGCCGCGGUAAUACGGAGGGUGCAAGCGUUAUCCGGAUUCACUGGGUUUAAAGGGUGCGUAGGCGGGCAGGUAAGUCAGUGGUGAAAUCUCCGGGCUUAACUCGGAAAUUGCCGUUGAUACUCUCUGUCUUGAAUUCUGUGGAGGUGAGCGGAAUAUGUCAUGUAGCGGUGAAAUGCUUAGAUAUGACAUAGAACACCAAUUGCGAAGGCAGCUCACUACACAGCGAUUGACGCUGAGGCACGAAAGCGUGGGGAUCAAACAGGAUUAGAUACCCUGGUAGUCCACGCCCUAAACUAUGGAUACUCGACAUACGCGAUAUACAGUGUGUGUCUGAGCGAAAGCAUUAAGUAUCCCACCUGGGAAGUACGACCGCAAGGUUGAAACUCAAAGGAAUUGACGG
rnacentral:rRNA from 1 species